rnacentral:rRNA from 1 species
GACGAACGCUGGCGGCGUGCUUAACACAUGCAAGUCGAACGGAAAGGCCCUGCUUGCAGGGUACUCGAGUGGCGAACGGGUGAGUAACACGUGGGUGAUCUGCCCUGCACUUCGGGAUAAGCCUGGGAAACUGGGUCUAAUACCGGAUAGGAGCCAUUUUUAGUGUGAUGGUUGGAAAGUUUUUUCGGUGUAGGAUGAGCUCGCGGCCUAUCAGCUUGUUGGUGGGGUAAUGGCCUACCAAGGCGGCGACGGGUAGCCGGCCUGAGAGGGUGGACGGCCACAUUGGGACUGAGAGACGGCCCAGACUCCUACGGGAGGCAGCAGUGGGGAAUAUUGCACAAUGGGCGCAAGCCUGAUGCAGCGACGCCGCGUGGGGGAUGACGGCCUUCGGGUUGUAAACGCCUUUCGCUAGGGACGAAGCUUUUUGUGACGGUACCUAGAUAAGAAGCACCGGCUAACUACGUG